rnacentral:lncRNA from 1 species
CGUGGAGUGAUCUGGUAAUCGAACAGCACUUUGAGAAGUGCCAGUUUUACAAAACUAGAUGAUUCAUUGCAAGUAUUCAGAAAGGGCCCAGUUAACGUACACUGGGCCACCAUGACAAGAAAGGCCCUCUUUCAGCUCUACAGAGAAGGAAAGAUCUUCAGAUAUCUGUUGCCACUGGAAUACAGACUUGGGAAUUCUGCUUGGAAGCUCAAAGGGCAGCAUUAUCCCCUUUUCUGAGGAUCCGUGAUGUGAGGAAUUUGGCCUUUCUGCAGGACCCCCAAAAGAGGAAGUAAUGCAUCUACAAGGGAAUUACAGGCACGCAAGUAGUUGGGAGUGAGAGAAAUAGCAAAGAAUGUGAUAGCUUGGAUUGUUUUGGUGAUGUUGGCAAGGAGAUUGUAAAGUGACUUUUUUUUUUCAUUCUUAACUGUUGAGUUAAGAAAAUAUUAUAAACAUUUUGUCACUGCUUAAAAUGAAAAUUCAAGUGAGUUUUUUUCC